UACAGAGGUCUCAAGCGUUGUUCGGAUUCAUUGGGCGUAAAGGGUGUGUAGGUGGCGCGCUAAGUCGGGUGUGAAAUUUCGGAGCUUAACUCCGAAACUGCAUUCGAUACUGGCGUGCUUGAGGACUGGAGAGGAGACUGGAAUUCAUGGUGUAGCAGUGAAAUGCGUAGAGAUCAUGAGGAAGACCCGUGGCGAAGGCGGAUCUCUGGACGGCUAAAACUGACGCUGAGGCGCGAAGGCCAGGGGAGCAAACGGG
rnacentral:rRNA from 1 species